GCGAAGAGGUCACACCCGUUCCCAUACCGAACACGGAAGUUAAGCUCUUCAGCGCCGAUGGUAGUCGGGGGUUUCCCCCUGUGAGAGUAGGACGCCGCCGAGC
rnacentral:rRNA from 1 species